ACUGGCGAAAGGGUGGCUAAUACCGCAUACGACCUACGGGUGAAAGCGGAGGACCGCAAGGCUUCGCACUAUUGGAGUGGCCGAUGUCGGAUUAGCUAGUUGGCGGGGUAAGAGCCCACCAAGGCGACGAUCCGUAGCUGGUCUGAGAGGACGACCAGCCACACUGGAACUGAGACACGGUCCAGACUCCUACGGGAGGCAGCAGUGGGGAAUUUUGACAAUGGGCGCAAGCCUGAUCCAGCCAUGCCGCGUGAGUGAAGAAGGCCUUCGGGUUGUAAAGCUCUUUCAGCGGGGGAAGAAAUGGUACGUGCUAAUACCACCGGACCGAUGACNGGACCCGAAGAAGAAGCACCGGCUAACUACGUGCCAGCAGCCGCGGUAAUACGUAGGGUGCAGGCGUUAAUCGGAAUUACUGGGCCGUAAAGCGUGCGCAGGCGGUUUGCUAACAGG
rnacentral:rRNA from 1 species